AUCAGUGACCCUCGAUGUUGUCAUCAAACCCAGGUUCAGCUGCUCACCUGUCAAAAGCCAAACACAGGAGAGGAGCGAUGGCGGGAAGAAAGCAGGUUUAUCUGGAGAGCCAGUAAUCUGAGAAGAUGGUGGACUAGUAUCCUAAGGGAAAACAGUGAUGCGAAUUCUACUCUGAUAUGCUAUAUAAAUGGAAAAAAAUAAAAGCCUGGAUGACAGCACAUCUCUUUACAAUAUGGUUUACUGAGUAUUAUAAACCCACUGCAGAGACCUACCUCUCAGGCAAAAAGAAAAAAGAAAAAGAUUCCCUUCAAAAUUUUACUGCUUAUUGACAAUGUACCUAGUCACCCAAGAGCUCUCAUGGAGAUGUACAUGGAGGUUAAUAUUGCUUUCAUGCCUACUAAUACAACAUCCAUUCUGCAGCCAGUGGAUGAAGAAGUAAUUUCAACUUUCAAGUCUUAUUAUUUAAGAAAUACAUUUUGCAAAGCUAUAGCUGAGAUAAAUAGUGAUGCUUCUGAUGGAUCUGGGACAAAGAGUUGAUUCCAACCCUAAUGAAUGACUUUGAGGGGUUCAAGACUUCAUUGGAGGAAACAACUACAGAUGUGUCAGAUUAGUCAUAUGAAAGAUAGCUAGAAUUAAACAUGAAACCUAAAGAUGUGACUGAAUUGGUGCAAUAUGAUGAUAAAGCUUGAAUGGAUGAAGAGUUGUUUCUUAUGGACAGAAAAGAAAAUGAUUUCUUGAGAUGAAAUCCAAUCCUGGGGAAGAUUCUGUGAACGUUGUUGAAAGGUCAAUAAAGGAUUUUGAAUAUUCCACAAACUUAUUUGUAAAGUAGCCACCAGGGUUUGAGGUGAUUGACUGAAAUUUUGAAAGAAGUUCUACUGUGGUUAAAAUGCUGUCAAACAGCAUUGCAUGUUACAGAAAAAUCAUUCCUGAUUUCAUAGCCAUCCCAAUCUUCAACAACCACCAGGCUGAUCAGUUAGUAGCCAUCAACAUCGAUGCAAAACUCUCCACCAGCAAAAAAAAAAAUAUAUGACUCCUUCAAGGCUCAGAUGAUCAUUACUAUUUUUGGCAAUAAAGUAUUUUUAAUUAAGUGGUCUACCAUGAAACCCCCAGUAUCUCUGAGUUAUGCCUUUAUAUGUAAAGGUAGAAAUCUGAUCAAAAGAAUGAAGAGACAAAACUGGAUACUUUAUAAUGCAAAAGGCUACAAUCCACAGUACAUAGCGACAACUGAUAUAAAGAUGAAACAGCAAAAGAUUCAAGGAGAAAUAAAGACAAAUUCAAAAAGGAAAGACUUUUUAUAUGUGCUGCUUUGAUUACUUAGUAUUUUAUAUGAGUUUCUUUCUCUUUGUUCUUUUUCUGGAGUAGAGUUUUUUUUUGCGGGGGAAGGAAUGCUGUACUCGCACUAAAAUUUGAUUUGUUGCUUAAAACAAUAUACUUUCAGAUGAAAAUUUGUGUGUUACAAAAAUAACCACUAUAUUUGGAAUAUACUUGGAAGAUUCACAAAAGUUUUCUAACAGCUUGACUGAAAAGAACAACACAAGAAAUGUAAAGAAAUAAUAUAAAUAAAUUUUGUGGAUAAAAAUAGGAUAAAUUAAUAACAAAAUCAAAAUGCUACUUGCUGCAAAAAUUUAAAAUAUAUAAGCACCAAUAAAGAUGCUAUAUUAAAUACCCUUGAUUCAAAGAAAAAAAUUAGGUAAAUUAUAAUUUUUUAAAGUGUAAUGAUAAUGCAAAGCUAAUAAACUACAAUCUAAGGAAUUCAGCAAAAUCAGGUAUCAGAGGAAUAUUAUAGUAUUAGACACAUAUAUCAACAUAAUACUAUAUAACUAUAAACACCAGUGUCAGAAAACAGCAGCAAAGCCAAACAAAGUAGAAGGACCAGAUAUAAGCAAAAUUAAGUGAUUUCAGAAGUGUAAAUUAAGUUCAGAUACUUUUCUGUAUCUCGUAGAUUAUCAAUUUAAUUUAUUCUCCUCAGCUCCUAUACUAUUAUGAAUUGAAUUAUGAUUUCCUAAAAUCUUUUGAAUUCCUGCAUUAAAACUCAAGUGAUUAUAACAUAUUAUGUCUAAAUGUUGUCUUGUAAUCAUUUUCCCUAAUACUCUAGUAAAUAUAUUUACAUGAUUGAUUGUUUAAAAUACUGUUUGUCACUAAUUUUUUUGUUGCAGGUUUGGGGAUAAAUAUUAUAUUUCUUAGAUAAAAGUAAUUUGGAAUUUUCUGUUUUAUCAUGCCUUUGAAUAAUCUAAAUAAAUAUAACUUACUUAUUCAGAUAAGAAUGGGGAGCUACUUCCUUAUUAUGAAGCAUAUAUGUAUGCAUACAUAAAUGCUUCAAUCAAGAACAAGACAAAUAAGAAAAAAAUUAUAAAAAAUACAUUAAAAUACGUAGUCCAUGUGUAUAUACAACUAUACACUUUGUACUUAUCAUAAAAGUAAUGACUAAUGAUGCCUUCUGGGUCCUCUGCUUAUUUAACAUUAUGACUAUACUGGUCAGUACAAACUGACUAGAGGAGAGAAAACAACUAGAGGCAAAAUAAAUUCAAAAGGAGAGGUAAAAUAAUCUAGUUAGACAGCAUAAUUAUACAUCUUGACCACCAAAAUAUUCUAAAAAAAUAAUGAAAGUGAUGUUAGAUAAAUACUUUAGGUAAAAUUAACAUAAAACCAAUAAAACAUAUAUAGACAAAGCAAGAAGUGGCUAUUAGUUUUAAUGGAAACAAGACAAAAGCAAAAAAUUAAAAAUAAAAUGAGAUAUUACUACACACCUAUCAGGUAGAAAGGCUAAAAUCUAAAGCACUGACAGCACCAAAAGUAGCAAGUAUGCAGAGCAACAAGGAAUGAUGGGAGGAAUGCUAAAUGGCACAGUCAUUUUGGAAGGCUGUUGAUAGGCUUUUAAAAAACUAAACAUAUUCUUUCCAUAUGACCACAAAUGGUGCUCCUUGGCAACUUUACUCACAAUUACCAAAACUUAGAAGCAAGGAAUAUGUUCCUUCAAUAAGUGUAUGAAUAAACAGAUGGUAGUGCAUAUAGGAAAUGAAAUAUUAUUCCAUAAUAAAAAGAAAUGAUCUAUCAAGCCAUGAAAAGACAUGGAGGAAACUUAAAUGCAGGUUUCUAAGUGGAAGAAACCAGUCUGAAAAGACUACACAUUAUGUGAUUCCACCUAUGUGGCAUUCUGGAAAAGGCAACACCAUGGGGAGUAAAACAAACAGUGGUUUCCAAAAUUUUGGAAGGAAAAAGGGAUGCAUAGAUAAAGCACAGGGAAUAUUCAGAACAAUGAAACUAUUUUGAGGAUUAUGUAAUGGUGGGCAAAUACCAUUAUUUAUUUGUCAAAACUUACAUUAUGUAUGACACAGCGAGUGAAUUCUAAUGUAAACUAUAAACUUUAACAAUGACAUAUCAAUAUGAAUUCAUUAUUUAUAACAAAUAUGCCAGACUGAUGUAAGACAAAAUAGGAGAAACUGAAGGUCAUGAUAAGACAUAGGGGAAGUGUCAAUAUUUCCUAGUCAAUUUUUCUGUAAAAUUAAAUCUGCUCAAAAACAAAAUUAUUUAACUUAAAAAAAUGAGCAGACAAAAUCUUAGUCAUAAGCUUAAUGGGAAAUAUUCCUAAUCUAGAAAACCAUAAAAAAUUUAUCAAGGCUCACUAUUAUACUUGAAGACCUAUUAUAUCCUUGCACAGAAAGAAAAUAUCAUAAAGUUAUCAGUUGCCCAAAAGUUAAUUUAUAAAUAUAAUGCAUUACCACUAAAAAUACCAUCAAGUUUUGUUCGGAAGCAAGCUGAUUAUUAAUUAUAGUUGGAAUCACAAACAGUCAAGGAGAGUAACAAAUUUCCUAAAAUGUAAGAGCAAUUAUGGUGUGCUAAUCUACCAGGUAUGGAAUAGUAUUAUGACGUCUCUACAUUUAAAAGAUUGUCAUAUUGGCCUACAAGAAAGCAGACCAAUGGAACAGAACAGAAAUUCCAUAAGUGAACACUACUACAUUUCAAAAUUUAGAGUAUAAAAAGACAUUACCUCAAAAAAAUGAAGAAAAAUUAGGUUUUACAAUAAGGAAUAUUUGAGAUACCUUGCUAGUCAUUUGGGAAAAAGAACUAUAUCAAUUUCUCACAGUAUAUCCCAGAUAAAUCCCAAAUGGAUCAGAUUAUUAAAUCUAAAAAACAAAUAAUUUUAGUUAAUAAGUGAAUAAGGCAUGAUAUAAUUUGAAUGUCACUAUUUUCAAGCCUUUUUGAAAUAUAGAUUGUAGGCAAUAGUCAUGAGUGGGGUAAUCAUCCAUAAAACAAGGACCAGUGAAUAGUGGGUAGGUUUUGUUGAAAUUUCACAUGUUCAGGUAUAAAGCAUUUUUUCUAGAAAUGGAAACUGAAUCAAAUUAGGUCUUCAGAUCUAAAUAUCAGAAAAUAAUUGGUAUAAAGUAUAGAUAAUACUUGGGAAGAGGUAUAGGUCCAUGGAAGUGUGUUUUGCAGAUUCCAUAAUGUAGUAUAAUUUACAGCAUGAGUGUACCAGUUUAUCAGCAUGGUUUGUUAUAAUAAAGUGGGCUCUUAAUUUGAAUAAGAAAACAAUGAAUUAGAUUUCUAUUACAAUUCCUGGGUCUUAAUUACUUAGAAUGACUAAAACAUAUAAUCAAUAGUUUAUAUUAUUAUAAAUCACACUACUCAAUAGGAAAACAGAGUGUCUUGUCAAAUAAAAAACACUAAUUGAUUUUGCAAUUUUAAACAAUGAUUGGAUCAUUAAAACUAUCUAUCCUUAUUAUCCUACUGUAUAUUUAAAUAGGUUCAGUACUAAUUAUUUUAGUAUCUAAAUUGUUAACAUUAUCAAACUGUUUGUCAUAUUAUGCAAAAGGUUCAGCUAAUGCUAAGCCUAACAAGACCUCUCUGUACUUGUUGAAAUCUUGUGGUAGACAGUGAGCACCUAUCCCCAUAAAACAUCAUUUUUUUGAGUAAACGCCAUCCUUACAUGUAUAAGAUGCUUGAAGUAAAAUAUCCAUGAAUGUAUACAAUUUUCCUAUGAUAGUUGUAACAGAGGCUGUCAGUACCACACUAAUAUCCCAUAGUCUUUGUCACACUUGCCCUUAACGUUCUUGUCACCCUUGUCCAAUUUCCCACAGUCAACCUCUGACAAAAGAUAUCUUUUUGCCCUUCAUGCGUAGUAGACCUGUGUCUUAAUCAGCCA